GACGAACGCUGGCGGCGUGCUUAACACAUGCAAGUCGAACGGGAUUUAGUAAACAGAAACCUCGGUGGAAGAUUACUAAUGAGAGUGGCGAACGGGUGAGUAACGCGUGAGCAACCUGCCUAUGACAGUGGGAUAGCCUCGGGAAACCGGGAUUAAUACCGCAUAAAAUCGUAGAAACACAUGUUUUAACGGUCAAAGAUUUAUCGGUCAUAGAUGGGCUCGCGUCUGAUUAGCUAGUUGGUGAGAUAACAGCCCACCAAGGCGACGAUCAGUAGCCGGUCUGAGAGGAUGAACGGCCACAUUGGAACUGAGACACGGUCCAAACUCCUACGGGAGGCAGCAGUGGGGAAUAUUGCACAAUGGGGGAAACCCUGAUGCAGCGACGCCGCGUGAACGAAGAAGGUAUUCGUAUCGUAAAGUUCUGUCCUAUGGGAAGAUAAUGACAGUACCAUAGAAGAAGGCUCCGGCUAAAUACGUG
rnacentral:rRNA from 1 species